rnacentral:rRNA from 1 species
UACGUAGGGUGCAAGCGUUACUCGGAAUUAUUGGGCGUAAAGCGGAUGUAGGCGGCUUUAUAAGUCUGAUGUGAAAGCCCGGGACUCAAUCCCGGAAGUGCAUUGGAUACUGUAAGGCUAGAGUAGAGGAGAGGUAGGCGGAAUUCCAGGUGUAGAGGUGAAAUUCGUAGAUAUCUGGAGGAACAACAGAGGCGAAGGCGGCUUACUGGACUCUAACUGACGCUGAGAUCCGAAAGUGUGGGGAGCAAACAGG